AAGAUUGAAGAUGAAGAACUCAUAUCGUACAUCAUGACCGGUUUAGAUGAACCGUUUGAUCCCAUGGUGUCAGCAGUGGCAGCACAUGCUAAUCCCAUCUCGGUUGGAGAACUGUUCAUGCAACUCGUGAGUUUCGAGC
rnacentral:snoRNA from 1 species